AGAAUGCAAAAGACAAACAGAGGCGCAAAGGUGAUGGUGGUGGCAGUGGCUCUGACUAUGAGCCAAUGAUGAUGAUGAGGCUGAUGAUGCCGAUGAGGUUGAGAAGAAGAGGAGGAGGAGCCAACUCUACAUAUGUCAAAGGAAAAGGAAAUUUGUUCCAAGAACAAGAAGAACCGAGAAGCUGUGAAGCAUCACCAAAUUACAGGCUCUAGGUCUUAUCCUUCUCAUUUCAACCAACUUAAAAAAGACAAGUACAACAAUGAGGACCCUAGUCUCCUUGAGUUUCUUAGAGAAACACAUACCAAUAGGAAGACAGGAUGCAUGAGCACCGCUGCCCUUGAAGCUUAUGUGAGAUUUCUCUCUACUUUUGGUUACAUGAAUAACAGUUGUUGCUGGCUGCUUGCUAUGUUGUUUUCUACUUGAUGUGCCACUGAUUGUUUAUGUGCUGCUGGUUGUUUGCUAUGUCAUUAUUCGCUGCUUAUUGUGUCGCUAGCUGCUGUACUCUUGGAUGUUUAUGUGCUACUGCCUACUAGAUGACUUGUUCUUGUUGGCUGUUUGCUUCAUGAAAGAAAAUUAUAUUUUUUGCACGUGCUUAUGGCUCUUACUAUGCUUUUGCAAGUUUAACCGACUGUAAAUGUAUCACCAU